ensembl:lncRNA
CUCAUUGAUCCCUCAUUUUAGUAUGCCCUGCCCCCAACAUCCUGUUUAAUCAGGAAAUAUAAUCACAUUCAGGAAGUAAGAUUCUUCCAAAACUGGCACUUCACUGGAAUUCAAAAUGCCAUUAAACAUUUUUAUACCACGUGUAAGUAACAUGAAGUCACUGCAAGUCCACUUGUUUCCUGCAGAGCCGAGCGGUGACGGACGUGAUUAAGUUCAUGAGAGCUCAACAAGCUUCUCCACUGUGGUUUGUAUCCAUCAACAGCCAACCUGAUUUGGGGGCUUCAUUUUCCCCAGAGAUGUGUUUGUAGUUUCACCUGCUGAUGGAUUUGAAAAUGGACAAGAAAUUGAUUCCAGACUUUUAAAGCUUCCAAGUUCUUUACAACUUUCAACAAUCCCAGAGUUCACCUGUGCAAUCACAAGUACGCUCUGAAUUCAUUUAAAGAUAAUGUGUGAGGGUUUGGAUUGAAUUAAUUUUUUAGUGAAUGCUACUGAGUUUGUUGUCUUGCUGUUCAUUAGAAUGACUGUUUGGCUUUUGUUUGUAUGGCUGUUUAUUGGUUAUUUGUUUACUGGGGGAUCUGUUGACAUGGUAAGAACUUGAAGGUAACACGGUUGCCUAAUCUUCUAACUUUGUACCUGUUUUCCAAAACAAACAACAGAAAAAAGACUCCACCGUCUGUCUGUUCUGACUGUCUUUCCUCUGCAGGCUUGGGGAGGGUGAGACAGUUCACCUGGACUCUAUGGGGAGAAAGAUGAACUCUUCUGGUCUACCAUCUGCUCACCAGUCCACCUUUGGAACGCUCCCCUGGUCCCGUCAAGCUCUUGGCCUCAUCCUCCCCGACUGAAGAUCAGCCAGAUAACAUUACCUCCUGACCAAUCAGGCGCCUGGAUCCAUACCUCAUCCCACAGCUCUAGAGCCCAGUAUGCCAUACAUGGCUGGAUCCAGAGGCCAAGAUCCAGUACUAACCUGGAAAACAAACAAAAAGCAAACAUGGACAUCCCCAAAAGUAGAAUAUGGACCAUGAAAACUGGAUAGCUUCUUCCAUCAGUAGGACCUCACCUGUACCUGUCACCUGAACACACCACAACACACAACUACACAAUGACAGAGCGAGCUUCGGCAGACUUUUAAACCAAAUAAAAAUUCGAUGCAAAUGUGCCACUAUGUUGCCAGAAGAUCCCAAAAAUAGAAGUAAACGAGAGAAACUGUUCUUUUAAUUUCCUGCAAGAUGCACAGUUUGACCUGUUUCUAAUUUUGUAUGUCCCAACACAUCCAAGGGUUAACCUGCACCUCCCUCUGAUCCCAUCUCUUCUGAAGAAUUCACAACCUCCUGCACUUUUGUGGAUGUCUAUUAGAUUACAUUAGCGGUGGCUUUUCCUCCCAGCCAGACACUUCCUGCCCUCAGGAGAACUAGAGAUAAGAGCCGACUCUCUCAAACACACUUUUGUAGAUACGAAGUGAACAAAUUUCCCUUCUGAGCGCUGUCUGAAAAACAAAAUCCACAACCAACAAAAGAUAGCGGUUCAAAAAACAAACAGUCCUGGCGGUAGGGGACGGCGGUAGCUCCGGGCAGUGUGUGGAGGAGCGCUGUGACCAAACAGUGCAGGGAAGUGGAGAUAAACAAAACAGACAAUUUU